rnacentral:piRNA from 1 species
UGAAAAGAAUGGACUAAAAGCAUCUUCAAGAA